rnacentral:miRNA from 1 species
UAUUGCACCAGUCCCGGCCUGAC